UGGUGGAGUGAUUUGUCUGGUUAAUUCCGUUAACGAACGAGACCUCAGCUUGCUUUAUAGUGCUGCGAAUGGUUUUUCAUUCGUAUAUUUUUGCACUUCAAAGAGGGACAUUUCGGUUUAACCGGAAGGAAGUUUGAGGCAAUAACA
rnacentral:rRNA from 1 species